AAGAUACCAGUCGCUCUGCGCGCCUGCACCCGUUCAGCCACAUACCAGGGAAAGGUUAUCGAGACUCUUGUAUUAUUACUGCUGUGCGUUUUUUUAUAAAUCUUCCUUGCACACUAACUACAUAAGGUGUUGUUGUAAUUUGGGCCGAGUCGACGGCCCUUAAUCGGUUGAAGGACGAACCGGCUGACAUUCCAAUGAAGGUAUCUACUGUAUUAGCUAUGGCUGGGUACGUUAGUAGGAGAUGCUCCAAUGCUACAUCUUAGAACCUUCGUAUUAACUUGGUUCUUUAUAAUAAACUCUUCUCAGUUUUUCAAUGUAGCGCAAAACGAUGGGAAAAAUAAAAAUCGUGACACUGUGGCAUUAUAAAAAAAAUGGUUUCAAGAACAGAAAAAUAUUUCCAUAGCUUGUACAAUUCAACGUAAUAACUCCGUGUGAAAAUUUCGAACAAUGUCGUGGAAGAGAGGCAAUUCCAAGGAAUAGCUCAUUGAAGUUUUAAACAACCAGUUUACAAUGACCUUAGUCGCACAGUACAUUUUACGGGCAUCAAUGCAUCGUGAAAUGCCUUUUGUGAAUGGCCGUCUCAUCCGCAUGCUGCAUCCAUUGAGGUCCCUUCACACGGUCAAAGACGACAAAAAAUAAUACAAACACCGUUACGCUUACCGAAAAAAUGUUCCCAUAUAACACACAUGAAUGUCUGCCAUAGAGAAGUCUGUAGAGCAUUCUGUAUCUACAGAUUACAUAUUCAUAAAUUAGUAAAAGCCUUAAUCGAUUGUGAUGAAAUUAUUUACGUAAUUAAUAAAAAAUUAAACGA